rnacentral:rRNA from 1 species
UCGGGAAUUUUGGGCAAUGGGGGAAACCCUGACCCAGCAACGCCGCGUGAAGGAUGAAGUAUUUCGGUAUGUAAACUUCGAAAGAAUAGGAAGAAUAAAUGACGGUACUAUUUAUAAGGUCCGGCUAACUACGUGCCAGCAGCCGCGGUAAUACGUAGGGACCAAGCGUUGUUCGGAUUUACUGGGCGUAAAGGGCGCGUAGGCGGCAAUUCAAGUCAUCUGUGAAAUCUCCGGGCUUAACUCGGAACGGUCAGAUGAUACUGCUUUGCUAGAGUGCAGAAGGGGCAAUCGGAAUUCUCGGUGUAGCGGUGAAAUGCGUAGAUAUCAAGAGGAACACCUGAGGUGAAGACGGGUUGCUGGGCUGACACUGACGCUGAGGCGCGAAAGCCAGGGGAGCAAACGGGAUUAGAUACCCCAGUAGUCCCUG